GACCCGCCGAGUGACCUCGGGCCAGUCACGGCACCUCUCCGCGCCUCGCCUUCCCGCUCUGCAAAGUGGGGGCAAUGUUAUUUGGCCGACUCAAUGGGACUGCUUGUAAAGCUCUCGGCACGGGGCCUGGCAUCCAGUAGGCGCUCCAGAACAGCGGCUAUUUUUAUUAUUAAUUAAGGAGUAACGAAGGUGACAGCUGUGUAAACUGUAAAGCGCUGCGCCUGAACGAACGGGUAUUAUUAGCACCCGCCCCCGCCCCAGCUACUCCCUCCAAGACAACAAACUUGAGCCUUUGUGGGCGGGACGCCGAACCGGGAGCUCCCCUUAUCGGAAAAAAAGGAGACAUGGAGUCUCAAUAGAGUUGAAACCAACUGGCAUCCGCUUGUAUAGAGUGAGUGAAUGUGCAGCAAUCGUGCCCCUGGGUCACAGGCGUAAGAGCCCUUGUCCUCUACUCUGACGCUUCAUGGACUGGCACAUGAUGAAGAUCCUGGGAUGCGUCCACCUCUUGGUAUUAUGAAGAAUGCUAUUACGAACAUGGAUGCACAAAUAUCUUUUGAGGCCCUUGCUUUCAAUUCUUUCUUAUAUCCAGAUAUGGACGAGCUGGAUCAUAUGGUAAUUCUACCUUUAAUUUUUAAGGAACUGCCAUAAUAUUUGCUGUAAUAGUUGCACGGCUUUCCAUUCCU